UUAAGCGACUAAGCGUACACGGUGGAUGCCCUGGCAGUCAGAGGCGAUGAAGGACGUGCUAAUCUGCGAUAAGCGUCGGUAAGGUGAUAUGAACCGUUAUAACCGGCGAUUUCCGAAUGGGGAAACCCAGUGUGAUUCGUCACACUAUCAUUAACUGAAUCCAUAGGUUAAUGAGGCGAACCGGGGGAACUGAAACAUCUAAGUACCCCGAGGAAAAGAAAUCAACCGAGAUUCCCCCAGUAGCGGCGAGCGAACGGGGAGGAGCCCAGAGCCUGAAUCAGUGUGUGUGUUAGUGGAAGCGUCUGGAAAGGCGCGCGAUACAGGGUGACAGCCCCGUACACAAAAAUGCACAUGCUGUGAGCUCGAUGAGUAGGGCGGGACACGUGGUAUCCUGUCUGAAUAUGGGGGGACCAUCCUCCAAGGCUAAAUACUCCUGACUGACCGAUAGUGAACCAGUACCGUGAGGGAAAGGCGAAAAGAACCCCGGCGAGGGGAGUGAAAAAGAACCUGAAACCGUGUACGUACAAGCAGUGGGAGCACAGAGCAAUCUGUGUGACUGCGUACCUUUUGUAUAAUGGGUCAGCGACUUAUAUUCUGUAGCAAGGUUAACCGAAUAGGGGAGCCGAAGGGAAACCGAGUCUUAACUGGGCGUUAAGUUGCAGGGUAUAGACCCGAAACCCGGUGAUCUAGCCAUGGGCAGGUUGAAGGUUGGGUAACACUAACUGGAGGACCGAACCGACUAAUGUUGAAAAAUUAGCGGAUGACUUGUGGCUGGGGGUGAAAGGCCAAUCAAACCGGGAGAUAGCUGGUUCUCCCCGAAAGCUAUUUAGGUAGCGCCUCGUGAAUUCAUCUCCGGGGGUAGAGCACUGUUUCGGCAAGGGGGUCAUCCCGACUUACCAACCCGAUGCAAACUACGAAUACCGGAGAAUGUUAUCACGGGAGACACACGGCGGGUGCUAACGUCCGUCGUGAAGAGGGAAACAACCCAGACCGCCAGCUAAGGUCCCAAAGUCAUGGUUAAGUGGGAAACGAUGUGGGAAGGCCCAGACAGCCAGGAUGUUGGCUUAGAAGCAGCCAUCAUUUAAAGAAAGCGUAAUAGCUCACUGGUCGAGUCGGCCUGCGCGGAAGAUGUAACGGGGCUAAACCAUGCACCGAAGCUGCGGCAGCGACGCUUAUGCGUUGUUGGGUAGGGGAGCGUUCUGUAAGCCUGUGAAGGUGUGCUGUGAGGCAUGCUGGAGGUAUCAGAAGUGCGAAUGCUGACAUAAGUAACGAUAAAGCGGGUGAAAAGCCCGCUCGCCGGAAGACCAAGGGUUCCUGUCCAACGUUAAUCGGGGCAGGGUGAGUCGACCCCUAAGGCGAGGCCGAAAGGCGUAGUCGAUGGGAAACAGGUUAAUAUUCCUGUACUUGGUGUUACUGCGAAGGGGGGACGGAGAAGGCUAUGUUGGCCGGGCGACGGUUGUCCCGGUUUAAGCGUGUAGGCUGGUUUUCCAGGCAAAUCCGGAAAAUCAAGGCUGAGGCGUGAUGACGAGGCACUACGGUGCUGAAGCAACAAAUGCCCUGCUUCCAGGAAAAGCCUCUAAGCAUCAGGUAACAUCAAAUCGUACCCCAAACCGACACAGGUGGUCAGGUAGAGAAUACCAAGGCGCUUGAGAGAACUCGGGUGAAGGAACUAGGCAAAAUGGUGCCGUAACUUCGGGAGAAGGCACGCUGAUAUGUAGGUGAAGUCCCUCGCGGAUGGAGCUGAAAUCAGUCGAAGAUACCAGCUGGCUGCAACUGUUUAUUAAAAACACAGCACUGUGCAAACACGAAAGUGGACGUAUACGGUGUGACGCCUGCCCGGUGCCGGAAGGUUAAUUGAUGGGGUUAGCGCAAGCGAAGCUCUUGAUCGAAGCCCCGGUAAACGGCGGCCGUAACUAUAACGGUCCUAAGGUAGCGAAAUUCCUUGUCGGGUAAGUUCCGACCUGCACGAAUGGCGUAAUGAUGGCCAGGCUGUCUCCACCCGAGACUCAGUGAAAUUGAACUCGCUGUGAAGAUGCAGUGUACCCGCGGCAAGACGGAAAGACCCCGUGAACCUUUACUAUAGCUUGACACUGAACAUUGAGCCUUGAUGUGUAGGAUAGGUGGGAGGCUUUGAAGUGUGGACGCCAGUCUGCAUGGAGCCGACCUUGAAAUACCACCCUUUAAUGUUUGAUGUUCUAACGUUGACCCGUAAUCCGGGUUGCGGACAGUGUCUGGUGGGUAGUUUGACUGGGGCGGUCUCCUCCUAAAGAGUAACGGAGGAGCACGAAGGUUGGCUAAUCCUGGUCGGACAUCAGGAGGUUAGUGCAAUGGCAUAAGCCAGCUUGACUGCGAGCGUGACGGCGCGAGCAGGUGCGAAAGCAGGUCAUAGUGAUCCGGUGGUUCUGAAUGGAAGGGCCAUCGCUCAACGGAUAAAAGGUACUCCGGGGAUAACAGGCUGAUACCGCCCAAGAGUUCAUAUCGACGGCGGUGUUUGGCACCUCGAUGUCGGCUCAUCACAUCCUGGGGCUGAAGUAGGUCCCAAGGGUAUGGCUGUUCGCCAUUUAAAGUGGUACGCGAGCUGGGUUUAGAACGUCGUGAGACAGUUCGGUCCCUAUCUGCCGUGGGCGCUGGAGAAUUGAGGGGGGCUGCUCCUAGUACGAGAGGACCGGAGUGGACGCAUCACUGGUGUUCGGGUUGUCAUGCCAAUGGCACUGCCCGGUAGCUAAAUGCGGAAGAGAUAAGUGCUGAAAGCAUCUAAGCACGAAACUUGCCCCGAGAUGAGUUCUCCCUGACUCCUUGAGAGUCCUGAAGGAACGUUGAAGACGACGACGUUGAUAGGCCGGGUGUGUAAGCGCAGCGAUGCGUUGAGCUAACCGGUACUAAUGAACCGUGAGGCUUAACCU
rnacentral:rRNA from 1 species